AUUGAACGCUGGCGGCAUGCCUUACACAUGCAAGUCGAACGGCAGCACGGGUGCUUGCACUUGGUGGCGAGUGGCGAACGGGUGAGUAAUACAUCGGAACAUGUCCUUUAGUGGGGGAUAGCCCGGCGAAAGCCGGAUUAAUACCGCAUACGAUCUACGGAUGAAAGCGGGGGACCUUCGGGCCUCGCGCUAUAGGGUUGGCCGAUGGCUGAUUAGCUAGUUGGUGGGGUAAAGGCCUACCAAGGCGACGAUCAGUAGCUGGUCUGAGAGGACGACCAGCCACACUGGGACUGAGACACGGCCCAGACUCCUACGGGAGGCAGCAGUGGGGAAUUUUGGACAAUGGGCGAAAGCCUGAUCCAGCAAUGCCGCGUGUGUGAAGAAGGCCUUCGGGUUGUAAAGCACUUUUGUCCGGAAAGAAAUCCUUGGCCCUAAUACGGUCGGGGGAUGACGGUACCGGAAGAAUAAGCACCGGCUAACUACGUG
rnacentral:rRNA from 1 species